GCGGCCGAGGGGGUGCUGCGGCCGGAGAGGCCGCCGGAGCCCCGGGCGGGGGGCGGCGGCGGCUGAGGAGAGCGGAGCUCGGCUGGAACCCGUCGGCCGGUGAGGAGGCAUUUGCUAAAAUGGUUGCACAUCAAUACUCACUCCUUCCUAGAAGAACAAGUGCUUGAAGCAGAGAUGAGCCAUGGCAGUUUUCUGAAUACUAUUUGCAAAUUAUUUCAUUGUGCAGCUAUCUUGUCAUUUAAAACGCUGAAGAAACCAUCUGUCUCAACCUCUCAUCAUACUGUAUGUGCUCCACCCCCCAAACAUCUUGACUGUCCUCUGCUGGGCUUGCUCCAGGAGGCCAGUAACAGACCACCACAGGAAAAACUCCCUUCCCUGAUCUGUCAGACAAACAGAUGAGAACUUUGAUGUGAGAGUCAAUAAUAAUCUGGAAAGCCUUCAUAGUAAUCACGCAGAGUUGGAGAAAAAAGGGAAGAGGCAUCCUCUAUCAGCUGCACGUUCCUGUGACCUGCUAGAACUCUAAUGAACUGAAGACUUUUUUCCUAUGAACUAUGUAGGUACUAAGUAUAAAAAUAAUUAAUUUUUGACUGCCAAAAGGUUUUAGGAAAGGCUGCCUUAGUUUAUUCUUACAGUUCAUACCUUAUGAUAAUAGGAAGAGGCCAGUGUUACAUUUGAGAUCCUUGGCUAGGUAAAGGGAAGCUAAAUAUUUCUGACAGUAUUAUAGCUAUAUGGAGGCUGGAACAUUUAUUCUAAGAUUUGAUCACAGAAGUUUGAACUUACUUCAUAAGCUUCCUAAAUAAAUGAAGAAAAUGUAUAAAACUUCACUUAGUUUAUCUUCAUUUUUAUACUGAAAGUGAUGAGAAGCUUGGAGUGCUCUAGUAUAGCAUGUUCAAACUGUUGAAGUGCUAAUAUUGCCAGCUUCACAAAUGCUGAGAUUUUAUGAGAGCAUGAAAUCAAUGUCAGAAUUUAAAAAUUCAAUAAGUUGCACGUCUGAAGCUUCCAGCACUCUAUUUAAAACAAGAGUUUUAAAAACUGUUGUGUAACAGAACUUGAAUGGUAUAAAUAAAUAUUCUG